rnacentral:rRNA from 1 species
GCAAGUUGAGCGAGAAAUCACUUAAAGAAGCUUCGGUAGACUUAAGAGAUGGAGAGCAGCGGACGGGUGAGUAACGCGUGGGAAACCUGCCCUUGACAGGAGGAUAGCCGAGAGAAAUUUCGAUUAAUACUUCAUAAAGCAGAGCAUUCGCAUGGAUGAACUGCCAAAGAAUUAUCGGUCAAGGAUGGUCCCGCGUCUGAUUAGCUGGUUGGUAAGGUAGCGGCUUACCAAGGCGACGAUCAGUAGCCGGCCUGAGAGGGUGAACGGCCACAUUGGAACUGAGACACGGUCCAGACUCCUACGGGAGGCAGCAGUGGGGAAUAUUGCACAAUGGGCGAAAGCCUGAUGCAGCAACGCCGCGUGAAGGAAGAAGGCUUUCGAGUCGUAAACUUCUGUCCAAAGGGAAGAAUAAUGACGGUACCUUUGAAGAAAGCCCCGGCUAACUACGUGCCAGCAGCCGCGGUAAUACGUAGGGGGCGAGCGUUAUCCGGAAUUACUGGGCGUAAAGAGUAUGUAGGUGGUUAAGUAAGCGUAGGGUUUAAGGCGACAGCCCAACUGUCGUAUGCCCCGCGAACUGUUUAACUUGAGUACAGGAGGGGAAGGCGGAAUUCCUAGUGUAGCGGUGAAAUGCGUAGAUAUUAGGAGGAACACCAGUGGCGAAG